rnacentral:lncRNA from 1 species
GUGUGUUUUCGUAACGGGCAGACGACAGAAUUCACUUUAAAUUAACAUUGGUUCUUAUGGGAGUAUUCACCCAUCGGCAGAAAGUUGAGCAGAAAAAAAGAACUGUUCAAAUCAGAGACGAACUGUCGUUCAUCUUGCCGUUCUUUAUAAGGCCUAUCAACACAAUGCUAUUUUGCUUCGACCGAUCACUGCUCGUGAACCGUUUUGUCGAAAAAGAACUAAUUUCGGGAUUCUGUCGACGAGAACAGACAGCUUCGAAUCACUUUUCUGCUCUGAUCACGUGACACCGGCAGAAUUAUCUUUCUGUGGAUCAGACGCCAUGUUCUUUUUAACCUCAAUCUUUAAUUGUUGGAUGGUUUGUUUUGAUAUUGGUUGUCAGAUUUCGGAUUGCUACUAUUAUACUGUGAAAUUAAUUUGCAGUGGAAAAUUGAGGUAUAAAAUAUUUCUAUUGGUUUCUUUAUUCUUAUAAUUUUUACAAGAGAAAUUGAAAAUGGAUUUACAACAGAAAGGCGUGAAAUUUUCGAAGUUCAAAGUUUUGUACUUUCCAGACCUGCACAACGAAUUACCUAUUUGAAAAAUAGAAUAUGGUUAGAAAUUGCUGAUGUAAUAGAGCAUUCAAGUACCAUUUACAAACAAAAUAUUGAAGAGAAUGUGCUCAAAGGAAAUGCAUAUAAAUUCUUUUUUGUUGACCAGGAUGGAACAAUUCUUUGGAACCUAUACUUAGAAUAAGUUAGUUAGGCCUAGUGAUGUACCAGCCAGAAGUAGAGGAUGACAAAGAAAAUCAACUAUGGAUAAUAUUCCAUGGAUAUGAUUCAUGUAUGAUGUAGUAGCCUACAGAAGAAAGAGAUGGACUAAUCUAAGAAAUAUAUUCAUUUUUUCAGUACAUCUUGAUGUGUUUAUUUCAUGUUAUUCAUAAUAAUAUCUUCUUUUUCUGAUCGCUCCUGCUAACUGCUUCAAUUCAGGUAGUUUUGAAGAAAACAGCAAGUGACAUGAAAUUAAUAAAAUAUGUUUUAAUUGUUUAUACUUGAGGGAUUUUUAAAUCUAUAACCCAAAAGCAUCGAACUCUUAUUAACAACUUUAUUGGUUCUGUAUGUCUUCUGCUUUUUUGGAACUAAUAAAAUUAUUUAACAUUGCUGACUGGCAAAUGCUAUAGGUAACACGUAGUUAAAUAAUAGACUUGAAUUGGAUAUAAAAUAGGGUAUCACAAUUAUUAUGUAUUGUAUUAAGAAUUAAGUAAUAGUACUUAUUUACUGCAUUGAAGGGGUAAUAAUUCUUUGAAUAUGAAAAAUAACUUAAGCAAAA